AAAAUAUCUUAAGCUAUUACUCUAUAACCACUGACUAUGAACCAAUUUCUAUUGAAUUUUGUUAGAAAACUCCAGAAAAUAUAUACCUAUUUGAAAAUUUUUAGUAGUUUUCAACUUAUUGAAAAUUUAUGAGUAGACUCCAAAUAUAUUUCAUUGAAUCACAGGAUUCUUCAUUAGUUUCUCAAAUUGGUACUAAAUCAUCAGCAUCACAACACUGGAAGGAACUGAACCAGGAAGAUCCGGAUAAAGACACUGUCUGCACUCUACUCAGAUGCCCUUUGAGUCUAUGCGCUGUUUCUGGGCUCAUCCUCCAGCCUCAACGUGUUUGCUGUCAAUUAGAUCAAACUGUGGAUAUAGGAUGCCUGCAGCCAAACCACCAAUCUUGACCCAUCGUGAGUCUCGGCUCACUGGCAGGGUGACUUAGGAGAGUGAGAAGAAAGCUGCCCAAGCUUUUACGCAUGUGGAACACAUUCACUUCUGACAUCCUUUACGAAUGAGGAACACUGCAAGGCAGUAUCUUAGAAAGGCAUUCCUGGCACAAUUUCUU
rnacentral:lncRNA from 10 species